rnacentral:rRNA from 1 species
GUGCGUGAAACCGUUAGAGGGGAAGCGGAUGCAGUUAGCAAUGCUUCUGCGAGAUUCAGGCGGUCGCUCGGCCAGACGUGCAGUUGAUGGAUCCGAAUGGACUGUCGCUGUACGGCCGGGUCUUGUGCCCGUCGCACUUCUCGCUGGAGCGCGUCAACAGCUGCUGGGCCUGGUCGACACGGUCAAGUGGAAGGUGAGCAUCCAGCUUGCUGGCUGUUGUUAUAUCCACUCGUACCUAGAUCGGGCUUGGCAGAGGCGAGCGGUGCAUGCUCUCUCUCGAGAGGGCUGGCGUCCUGUUCCGUUCACGUAGCCGGCUUGGAUGCACUGCGUGCAGUACGUUCUUGCCGGUGAAACGGCGUGCAGUCAACGCACUCGAUGCACCAUGGUUGUUGGCGGCCAUAUGGCUUUAUCCGACCCGUCUUGAAACACGGACCAAGGAGUCUAACAUGUGCGCAAGUCUUGGGGUGACCGAAACCCAGAGGCGCAAUGAAAGUGAAGGCUUCCUUGUGAGGCUGAGGUGAGAUCUUUGCUCUACGCGAGUGAGGCGCAUCAUCGACCGACCUAUUCUACUCUUAGGAAGGUUUGAGUAAGAGCGUACAUGUUGGGACCCGAAAGAUGGUGAACUAUGCCUGAGUAGGGUGAAGCCAGAGGAAACUCUGGUGGAAGCUCGUAGCGAUUCUGACGUGCAAAUCGAUCGUCGAACUUGGGUAUA